rnacentral:rRNA from 1 species
CGAACGCNGGCGGCGUGCUUAACACAUGCAMGUUGAACGGGCAGAUAUGGAAGCUUGCUGAAGUAUCUGUUAGUAGCGGACGGGUGAGUAAUGCAUGAGGAGCUGUCAUAGGGAGGGGGACAACAGUUGGAAACGGCUGCUAAUACCCCGUAUGCCGGAAGGUGAAAGGGAGCGAUCCGCCCGAUGAGGUACUCAUGUCCUAUCAGCUGGUUGGUGGGGUAACGGCCUACCAAGGCGACGACGGGUAGCCGGCCUGAGAGGGUGAACGGCCACACUGGAACUGAGAUACGGUCCAGACUCCUACGGGAGGCAGCAGUGGGGAAUAUUGGGCAAUGGGGGGAACCCUGACCCAGCGACGCCGCGUGAGGGAAGACGGCCUUCGGGUUGUAAACCUCUUUUGUACGGGAAGAAGGAAGUGACGGUACUGUACGAAUAAGUCCCGGCUAACUACGUGCCAGCAGCCGCGGUAAUACGUAGGGGACGAGCGUUGUCCGGAAUUACUGGGCGUAAAGGGCGCGUAGGCUGUGCUGCAAGUCAGCUGUGAAAUAUCUGGGCUUAACCUGGAUAUGCGGAUGAGACUGCAGUGCUGGAGUGCUGUAGAGGCAAGUGGAAUUCCCAGUGUAGCGGUGAAAUGCGUAGAUAUUGGGAAGAACACCGGUGGCGAAGGCGACUUGCUGGGCAGCAACUGACGCUGAGGCGCGAAAGCCAGGGGAGCGAACGGGAUUAGAUACCCCGGUAGUCCUGGCCGUAAACGAUGAAUGCUAGGUGUGGGUGUAGAGAUACAUUCGUGCCGGANUUAACGCGAUAAGCAUUCCGCCUGGGGAGUACGGUCGCAAGA